CCUACGGGUGGCAGCAGUGGGGGAUAUUGCACAAUGGGCGGAACCCUGAUGCAGCGACGCCGCGUGUGGGAUGACGGUCCUCUGGAUUGUAAACCACUGUCCUCAGGGACGAAGAUGACUGUACCUGGGGAGGUAGCUCCGGCUAACUACGUACCGGCAGCCGCGGUAGUACGCAGGGAGCGAGCGUUGUCCGGAAUUACUGGGUGUAAGGGGAGCGUAGGCGGGACUGCAAGUUGGGUGUCAAAUCUACCGGCUAAACCGGUAUCCGCACUCACAACUGGAGUUCUUGAGUGAAGUAGAGGCAGGCGGAAUUCGUAGUGUAGCGGUGAAAUGCGUAGAUAUGAGGAGGAACACCAGUGGCGAAGGCGGCCUGCUGCGCUUUAACUGACGCGGAGGCUCGAAAGUGUGGGGAGCAAACAGGAUUAGAUACCCUUGUAGUC
rnacentral:rRNA from 1 species